rnacentral:rRNA from 1 species
UACGUAGGGUGCAAGCGUUAUCCGGAAUUAUUGGGCGUAAAGAGCUUGUAGGUGGUUUGUCGCGUCUGCUGUGAAAAUCCGAGGCUCAACCUCGGACUUGCAGUGGGUACGGGCAGACUAGAGUGUGGUAGGGGGAGACUGGAAUUCCCUGGUGUAGCGGUGGAAUGCGCAGAUAUCAGGAGGAACACCGAUGGCGAAGGCAGGUCUCUGGGCCAUUACUGACACUGAGAAGCGGAAAGCAUGGGGAGCGAACAGG